UCUCUUGCCACAGAAGCCAUGUGCUGGGAGUUGGUGAGCAUCUUGGCAUGUCUGCAACUGUUGGCAGGUGUUUGCCAUGCAGUGACUGUGACACAAAAAGAACAGUACAAAAUCAUCCAGGUGGGAAUCAAGACAAGUAUCGACUGCAAUCACGAUGAGAGCACCUACUUGACUGUCCUUUGGUAUCGGCAGGACAGCAACAGCGCAGACAGGACACUGCAGCUAGUUGGCUACUCUGUCCAUGGGAAUACCCCAGAGAUGACUAUGACCACCUACAGUAUAGAGAGGCCGAAUGUGACACAUGCAUCCCUAUCUGUCCCUGCAAAACAGGCUGCAGAAUCAGCCGUGUAUUUCUGUGCAGCUAGUAAAGGCACAGCGAGCACUUCUUGCCUCUUAGCUGCACAUGAAUGUUGGAGUAACCCUGCCUCCACCCCAUCCGAGCCACAACUGCUUAAAACCCAACCAUUUCCUGGAUAAUAUUUCCAAAGAGGGUGAGAAAUACAGCAGCUGUAGCUGCUCCUGUCUUAUCAAUAUUCCCCCAUCCGAUUUGGAUUAAAUAAAUCAUGAAGCUCAAUCUUUCUGCUUAACAGCCAAAACAAAGUUCAAUUUUGGCUACAUUCAGAUAAAAUCCAAGCCACCAAGGCUACAGUUAGCAUGUUCCACAAACGUGGCUUCCAAGAUCCAGGCAGCUUG